GCCGAGCGCGAGUUCACACGGCGAGGAUCGCGGUAAGGGCCUAGCGCCCUAGUUGCAUUAGUUUACUUUCCUAUUUCUGCAUUAGAGUUACCUUUAUAUACAUUGAGAGUAGAUGAUGUAUAGGUUGUGAGCUAUUUUGGGAUGAAUGUAAGCUAAUGUUUGUAUUUUGGAAGAUGUAAGCUUUAUAUUAUGUUUAGAAGCUUAAUGCAUAAUCAAGUUGUAUUAUAAAGGCUGAAUGAAUGUAAUAGAUAGAUGUUCCUCUCUUUAUCAUUACUCGUAUGUUCUAUACUUGUAUCUUGCUCUUAGUUGUUUAGCACUGAUUGUGCUCCCCUCGUAGUUGUUAAGUGAUCAUGUAUGUAUUCAAGUGAUUUCCUGGGAACUUGUUGUACAUGAUCUGUUGGUUAGCCUUGGGCGGACAGCGGAGGUGCUGUCCGUUCGGCGUCUGUUCGACGCGCCCGAGCCUGACCAAAUUGGUAGCGGUCUCGGGGCGUGACAGUAUUGGUUUGUUGUUCAGUCACUUGGUGAGAGGUACGUCGGAGUCUCGUUGAGACUGGCAUUUAGUGUUGAUAAAAACAUUGAUCACUAGGGUCCCUUGGGGACGUCAGCGACAGGGUCUCGUAGAGACAGAUGUUGAGCAUCACUGGUGGUUACGGUCGCAUGUUGCGAGUAGCAACUCGGUUCACCUAGUAAUGGACAUGCAUUGGUCUUAUGUUGAUCUGUUUGUACCCGAGUGAGUGUUGAGCAAGCUAAAUUGACGGGCUCAACUGGUAGUGGUAGCCUUAGACCUUCUGGUCUAGGCGGAAGGUUAGGUCUUGAACCUAAGUGAGUCGGGUUGCAUUGGUAGGUUUCGAUGGUUAUGGUUUGGUUCUGUCUGAAUUUUAGUUCGGACUAGUGAGAGGUUGUAGGCUCCGAGGUGAGUGUUGGUACUCUGGUUUAGGGGUUUUCCUACCUUGGCACUAUAGCCAUGUUUGGUGCGUUAGUGAAUUGUUAACCGAAAUUAUUUUCGGUGGUGCGUAGGCAAGUUUCGGGGACAAAACUUUCUUUAAGGGGGGGAUGAUAUAAGGACUGAGAAUUUGACUAUAUAGUCAGACUCUCUGUUGACAAUGUUUUUGUGUGUAAUUUAAUUACAAAAGCACUCAUCAAGCUACGGGAGAAAACGAGUUAAAACGGAGAUUUUACGCGAUCUCCAAGUUUCACUUUAAGUG
rnacentral:lncRNA from 1 species